GCUCCCUUCGAAUAUCGGUUAGUUCGCCAGCCUUUCAAGCUGGAGAGACGGGUUCAAUUCCUGUAGGGAGUA
rnacentral:tRNA from 1 species